GUACAUAUUCAAGGACAUUGCAUAUGCAUGAUGGAGUAAAAGACAAAAGUCACCGUAAUACAAAGAACUUAGUAAAGCUGGGCUAGGACCAUGGUCCAGAGCACCUGUGUGCCAAGUGAGUGAAACCACAUGCCAGCCUCAGAGAGGGACCUCAGACCACAGGGACCUGUUUUUCUGUGGAGCUAGCAGCUGGUGCAAGUAUGGGUGUGCAGGAAACUCAUUUCAUGCAGACCCAUCCAGUGUGACCCAAGUGUUUUCAGAAACAUGGCUUAACAGGACAAAGCUCUUCAUACUGUGGAAAUGCAGUGCAUUCACAAAUACUUUGCUGAGAGAUAGUAACGUGGAUAUUUUUCUGGAUGAGUAUUCAGUCACCUUCAUUCAUCUGCUUACACCUUCCCUUUCCCUCCUUCAGCAGUUUGUGUAUCAUUUGAAGACUGUAUCAGUAAUUAUUUUUCCCCAAGACAUUCAUAACUGUGUUAAGUAGCUUAGAGCCAAAAAUUGAUCCCUGUGAAUUAACUUCCAUAUCCACUUAACAGUGGAUACAGUGAAUCUCACUUUUAAUUACACUGACUUAUUUUUAAUAGACUUUAUGUAUGCUGUGUAUUUUUUUUAUUGCUUUACAAUAUUUAUCAAGACACUGUGCCAUAUCAAGGCAGUGAUAGAAAUCCAAGAAUAUUACACCAAUGGUACCUUUACAAGUCAAAAUUUUAUAUGUCAAAAAAUCAAACCAAAACUCGUUACUUUGACAACAUCUGUUAUACAGAAACCUGUGUUGAUUUGUUUUAAUUAAAUUACUCUUUUUAUUCUUUAUAAGUUGAGUCCCAUAUUAAGUGAUUCAGUAUUUUUAUUCAGUCUGAUUUUAAGAUGACAAGUUUAAUAUUAAAUGGAUUAUUCUAUUUAUAGUUUUUUUUUUUUUAAAUAUUGGCAAUACAUUCAUUUUUCUUCCAGGUGUUUCCUGAAUGUCCUCCAUGUUUCAAUACUUCUGAAAAUAAACCUUGACAGAGUAGAGAACUCCUCUGAUAC
rnacentral:lncRNA from 1 species